AAACAGAGAUUUCAAAGGGACUUCAUAAAAUGCUUAAAGUGAUAUUUUAAUAUAAUAACAAAAGAUUUGGAAGUAAAUCACCAGAGCUAUAAAACUCGUAUAUUCAUGUCCCAUGCUGAUCGUAACAUAACUUGUUUACUAAGGAAGAGGGAAGUCUUGCUUACCUGGCAGAAAGCAAGGGGAAAAGAGUAUUCUUUGUCUUUUACCGGGUACUGAAUGAGCAAGCUUUACCACUGAUAGAGAAGUGCCUCUAAUAACUGCCAACAAUGUUAUGUUGCUGUAAAGCACAGUAUGG